rnacentral:rRNA from 1 species
AGCAAACAGGAUUAGAUACCCUGGUAGUUCAUGCCGUAAACGAUGAAUGCUAAGUGUUUGAGGGUUUCCGCCCUUUAGUGCUGAAGUUAACGCAUUAAGCAUUUCGCCUGGGGAGUACGGCCGCAAGGGUGAAACUCAAAGGAAUUGACGGGGGCCCGCACAAGCGGUGGAGCAUGUGGUUUAAUUUGAAGCAACGCGAAGAACCUUACCAGGUCUUGACAUCCUUUGACAACCCUAGAGAUAAGGCUUUUCCUUCGGGGACAGGGUUACAGGUGGUGCAUGGUUGUCGUCAGCUUGUGUCGUGAGAUGUUGGGUUAAGUCCCGCAACGAGCGCAACCCUUGAUUUUAGUUGCCAGCAUUAAGUUGGGCACUUUAAGGUGACUGCCGGUGACAAACCGGAGGAAGGUGGGGAUGACGUCAAAUCAUCAUGCCCCUUAUGACCUGGGCUACACACGUGGUACAAUGGACGGUACAAAGAGGUGCAAGGCCGCGAGGGGGAGCUAAUUUCAUAAAACCAUUUUCAGUUUGGAUUGUAGGGUGCAACUUGCCUACAUGAAGGUGGAAUCGCUAGUAAUCGCGGAUCAGCAUGCCGCGGUGAAUACGUUCCCGGGCCUUGUACACACCGCCCGUCACACCAUGAGAGUUUGUAACACCCGAAGUCGGUGGGGUAACCUUUUUGGAGCCAGCCGCCUAAGGUGGGACAGAU